rnacentral:rRNA from 1 species
GACGAACGCUGGCGGCGUGCUUAACACAUGCAAGUCGAACGGAAAGGCCCUGCUUUUGUGGGGUGCUCGAGUGGCGAACGGGUGAGUAACACGUGAGUAACCUGCCCUUGACUUUGGGAUAACUUCAGGAAACUGGGGCUAAUACCGGAUAGGAGCUCCUGCUGCAUGGUGGGGGUUGGAAAGUUUCGGCGGUUGGGGAUGGACUCGCGGCUUAUCAGCUUGUUGGUGGGGUAGUGGCUUACCAAGGCUUUGACGGGUAGCCGGCCUGAGAGGGUGACCGGCCACAUUGGGACUGAGAUACGGCCAAGACGGCUACGGGAGGCAGCAGUGGGGAAUAUUGCACAAUGGGCGGAAGCCUGAUGCAGCAACGCCGCGUGCGGGAUGACGGCCUUCGGGUUGUAAACCGCUUUCGCCUGUGACGAAGCGUGAGUGACGGUAAUGGGUAAAGAAGCACCGGCUAACUACGUG